rnacentral:rRNA from 1 species
UUGGUAGGUGGUCUGAUUUGUCUGUUGGUGAAAGCCCGGGGCUUAACUCCGGAAGUGCCACAGAAACGGUCAGACUUUGAGUACUGGAGAGGUGAGUGGAAUUCCCGGUGUAGCGGUGAAAUGCGUAGAGAUCGGGAGGAACACCAGAGGCGAAGGCGGCUCACUGGACAGUUACUGACACUCAACAACGAAAGCGUGGGGAGCAAACA